rnacentral:lncRNA from 1 species
UAACACACAAAAAUUAGUUAUCAAAAUUGGUUAAAUAUUCAGUUUUAAAUAUGUGGUUGAAUUGAGUUAUAUCAUAUUUUAAUAAAUUUUAAUUUAAAAUUUAUUUUACAUUCUAUUCUCAAGAAUUGUGAUUAUUCCUAUUAAUAAUAUUGUCUUUGUAAUGGGCCAAUUUAGCCCAGGCCCAAAACAAAAAACACAUUAAAUAAAGUCCAAAAUUUUAAACAGUCCAUGGCCCAAUUACAAUACUCUAAUGACCCAUCAACAAAAAUGAACCCAAGCCUAAGACCCAAAACAUAAAAGCCCAAUCCUAUGGCCCAACAUUUAGACACCCUCAGAAACCCUAGGUUACCCUAGGUGCGCCGCAAUCCAGCCUCCGUACGGCCGCCAGCUCGCCUCGUACGCACUGCUCCACGUCGCCAGCCGUACCUGCAAGUAAAAUAAAAGGACUAUGGCAGCAAUAAUAGAAAAAUAGCAGAGCAAAAAAGAAAAAGCUUGUAUUAUUUUUUUUCUCUCUUAGCUAUAAAGCCCAAGAGAAAUCGUUUUGUAACUUCUUCUACGAAUACAAGAAAAUAGAAAAAAUCACAGGCAAAUCUCAAUCCAAAAAACAGAAUAGGUAUUCUGGUUUUGUAUCCUAUUUAUUUCAAGUAUCGUAUAUGUAGAUAGGGAUAGAAAUACAACUUGUUUCCUUUUUUUUUUUUUUGCGACGAAGAGGCUUCUUUGAGCUCUUGUAGCUUUAGUGGGCGUUUUUUAAGCGAUUGGGCCCCAGAUCUGGGUCUGGGAAGACAAAAUGACCUUAAAGGGCCCAUUUUAUAAUUUGACCGCCGUAUACGGCGGUCGCCGAUGGACGGAUGGACUAUAGUUCGGCGGCCGAAAAUCGUCUAGGCCAGUGGAACCCCUCCCUUUUACUCUUUUUUUUAGGCAUUAAUGAAAUGAUUUUUUUAAACAAUUUUUUUUGGUUUUAUAAACCUGUGCAACGACGUUGUUUGGGGUCAAGUCCAGUAACCCCAAAACGGCAUCGUUUAGCCCUAGCCCGUGCAUAACUCGACCCGUAUAGGCCAAGAUCCGAGUGUUUUUGCUCUAAUGGGUUAUUUGCGGAUUCGGUCCCUCCGCUUUUGUGGUCCGUAGCAAUUCGGCCCUGUUUCCUUUUUCUUUUCUUUUAAUUUUUGCCUUGUAAUUUUUGUAGUAUUCAAUUUUGAUCCUUAUUGAAGUUAUGCGUUUUAGGGGACGGGAUAUUGCCCCAUUUGGUCCCCCAUCUCAUUCGUGUAUCACAAUUUGGGCCCAAUAUUUUAUUUUCAUUCCAUUUUGUUUUCUUUUAAUUCCAUUUUGAUUUCAAUUCAAUCCCGACUUAAUUGAUUUCAUCAUUUGUGUAUUCUUGCUUAUCUGUUCCCUUUUUAAUACUAAAACUUUUAUUUAUAUGUAAUAUCUAUCUAUCUGUUUAGUCAUUAUUUGUUUUCAUGAUUAGGUUCUAUUUAUCAAUUUAUUCAUUAUUUUAUAACUCAUUAUUUUAAAAAUAAUUAAUAUUAUUUAUGUAAUGUACCUACCUAUUUAUUUCAUUUAUUAUUUAUCCCUUAUUUUUAAAUACUUUGGAUUAAUCUAUUUCCUUUUAUUAUGUACUUCAUAUUCCCUUUCACUUACUUUUAUUAUUGUUAUCAGUUAUUUCAUACAUCAUUGAUUGCUAAUAUUGAUAUUAAAUCAUGUGAUUAUUGUAAUUACAUCUUAUGAACUAUUGUUAAUGUACAAGCCCAAUCUUACCCGGCCCACUAAACCUAAAACAACCCUACCCUAGCCCAAACCACCAGCAGAAAAAAAAUAAGGAAGCAGCAAACCCUAGGUGCCUUCACUUGCAUCGCCUCUCCUCCACCUGCUCCCAUCACCUCCUUGAAGACCUGCAAACAUGACGGAAGUAGCAACAGAAGCAAAAAUGCAGCAAACAGUAACAAAACAGCAAUAGGACUUUGCAUAAUCGGCUAUAAAGAGCCAUUCAUUUUCAAUGUAAAAGGGGGGAUUGUAUUUCGAAAAGAAAAAAAAAAGAAAGAAAAAAAAAACAGAGAGCAUCCAAUACAAAAAAUCAAUCAAAAAACCAAAACUUUAAAGGUGAUUCCUCUUUUGUUUCAUUUUUUAUUUAAAAUCUCUGUUGCUUUUAUCUUUUUUUAUAUAUUUUUUAAUAAAAAAAUAAUAAUAAAACAAAAAGAGUAGAAAAAGGAGGGUACUCACCUUCGUUGGCCUCCUCGGCGUCGGAAGAAAUCCAUUCGCGCAACGCCGGCCACUGGCCCACAACGGCCGCGCAAUGGACACCGGGAAAACCUAUCGCCGGACAUAGGGAGUGAAGGGAGAGCAAAGAGAACUCUCUAUCUCCCUUUUUUUUGUUUUUCUAAAUAAUGCUGAAACAAUAAUAAUAAUAAAAAAACAAAUUUGGCUUAAAUAAGCCAAGCAAAAUGACGGGGG